CCUACGGGAGGCAGCAGUAAGGAAUAUUGGUCAAUGGGCGGAAGCCUGAACCAGCCAUGCCGCGUGCAGGAAGACGGCCCUACGGGUUGUAAACUGCUUUUGUACCGGAAUAAACCUUGAUAUGUAUAUCAAGCUGAAUGUACGGUAAGAAUAAGGAUCGGCUAACUCCGUGCCAGCAGCCGCGGUAAUACGGAGGAUCCAAGCGUUAUCCGGAUUUAUUGGGUUUAAAGGGUGCGUAGGUGGCUUAUUAAGUCAGGGGUGAAAGACGGUAGCUUAACUAUCGCAGUGCCUUUGAUACUGAUGAGCUUGAAUCCACUAGAGGUAGGCGGAAUGUGACAAGUAGCGGUGAAAUGCAUAGAUAUGUCACAGAACACCAAUUGCGAAGGCAGCUUACUAUGGUGGUAUUGACACUGAGGCACGAAAGCGUGGGGAUCAAACAGGAUUAGAUACCCUGGUAGUCCACGCCCUAAACGAUGAAUACUCGAUGUGUGAUAUACGUACGNGCGUCUAGACGAAGACGUAAGUAUUACUACCUCGGAGGUACGCCGCGAGGAGAACGUAAGUAGAGUAGUACGCGUGAGAGAGCGACGGACGACGACGAGGGAGGAGG
rnacentral:rRNA from 1 species